UACGUACUGGGCGAACGUUAUUCGGAAUCACUGGGCUUAAAGGGUGCGUAGGCGGCCUUCCAGGUCCGGUGUGAAAUCUCACGGCUCAACCGUGAAAUGACGCUGGAAACCGGAAGGCUUGAGUGUGCUAGGGGUGUGUGGAACUUCCAGUGGAGCGGUGAAAUGUGUUGAUAUUGGAAGGAACGCCGGUGGCGAAAGCGACACACUGGGGCACAACUGACGCUGAGGCACGAAAGCUAGGGUAGCGAACGGG
rnacentral:rRNA from 1 species